GAUCCACCAAAUUCCUUUGGUGUCUUUGGGGCUAUCUUCACUAUCUGGUGGGGAAUCAGAUUGUGGCGUCUUGUGGAGCUUACUCACGUCGUAGCCUUCUUCUUUAGCCUUCUCAACAAGCUGGUUGUAAAUCUCAUCAUCAAGACGUGUUUGCCUACUUAAUAUCCAUAAAUACCUCCUACUAGGCUGACCAAUCAAAGCAUACUGAUAAUCCUCAUCAAUAUACAAAACCCAAUAAUCACCAGUAACAGGAAUUAUAGGCAAAAAUGGUGGAACAUAAAACCUGACUUUCAAUUUUGCCUCAUCACUAUUAGGGUCAGCCUUAUAAGCAGUUCCUUCAAUAAACCCUCUUUUGCCAUUACACCAUGUCUCAUUCAGCACAUGUACAGUGCCAUCUGAGUUCAAUGUAUAAGUAGCCCUUGUGUCCACUCCAUCUUUAGGCUGAAAUCUUGAUGGAAAUGAAGCAAUUUCAUACCAUCUACCCAUAUACCUCUUUAAAUCAAGAUUUUUCACCACUUCCAUUACUUUUGUAGCCAUUAUUUUGAAGUUUUAACAAAUGGGGUUUUCAAGAUUUGGGAGAUUUUUUGAUAAAAAUGGAAUCUUUAAA
rnacentral:misc_RNA from 1 species